AAACAUUUGUACUUGAAAUUACUAAGAACUUGGAACAUUAUACCUUUAACAUAUAGGCAAGAAAGUAAUACACACUGGAAAGGAAGCAUGAUGACAAGAACCCACAUUCCAAAGAUGUGUAGGUGAGCUUUCAUCAACCUAAAAUUAUGUACUCUUAUCAUUUCAACCAUAAAAAAUAAGGUUAACUAUUAAAUACAAACAAGCUCAAACAAAUCCACAUCCUAAAGGACCUAUAUAUCAAGCUCACAACGUGAAGGUGAUCUAAGCUUUUCGGGUAAUAAAGUGGAACAGAGUUUGCUCGAAUAUAAACCUGUAGCAAUGCAACAAACCAUUCAGCAAUCUUCCCUAACUGUUCUAUGUAUCUAAAGGAGAAUCACAACUGACAAACAAUACAAGUAGAAAUUUCUAUUAUAUUACUAUCUUCAACUUUGGUUAUCCUCCUACUAACAAACAUCUUUUACUUCUCAGAAUCACCGUGCGCUCUCCAGGUAAUUGGUAGGAAA
rnacentral:misc_RNA from 1 species